GAUGAACGCUGGCGGUGUGCCUAAUACAUGCAAGUCGAACGAAGUCUUCGGACUUAGUGGCGAACGGGUGAGUAACACGUUGGUACCUACCCCUAAGUGGGAGUAACUGCCCGAAACGGGUAGGCUAAUACCGCAUAAUCCCGCAAGGUAAAGGCAGUAAUGCGCUUAGGGAGGGGCCGUGCGUCUGAUUAGCUAGCUGGUGAGGUAAUUGCUCACCAAGGCUACGAUCAGUAGCUGGAUCGAGAGGUUGACCAGCCACACUGGGACUGAGAUACGGCCCAGACUCCUACGGGAGGCAGCAGUUU
rnacentral:rRNA from 1 species